GUGGAAAGUGGCGCACGGGUGAGUAACGCGUGGGCACCUACCCUGAAGUGGGGAACAACCACUGGAAACGGUGGCUAAUACCGCAUACGCCCGGUUUGGUUACGGCCAGAUCGGGGAAAGCUUUAUGCGCUUCAGGAUGGGCCCGCGUCGGAUUAGCUAGUUGGUGUGGUAAUGGCGCACCAAGGCUUCGAUCCGUAGCUGGUCUGAGAGGAUGAUCAGCCACACUGGAACUGAGACACGGUCCAGACUCC
rnacentral:rRNA from 1 species